GGGACACAGAGCUAUACCAAAAGCUAUUGUGAACAAUUGGGUUUUCGCAUAGAUUUGUCACAGAUUUCACACAGAGCAAAUCAAGAAACAGAUCUUCGGCAUCCCAAAAUCUCCUGGAGCCCCAUCUGAUGUCUAGCCUCUGACCCAAGGAAACCACUACCCUGACUUCUACCCCCACUGCUCAAUUUUGCUUGAUGCUUCAGUUUCCAUAAAGGAAAUCACUGAGGAUAAACUCUUCUGGACCUGGCUUCCUCCACUCAGUCUUUUUCUUGAGAUUCCCCAUUUGUUGCACAUUGUGCAUCCUUUACCCAAAUUUCUAUACAUUAUGCCGUUGUGUGAAUACAGAGAAAUAGAUUUACCCAUGCAACUGUGCACAUUUUGGCUUCUUCCAGUUUGGGGCUGCUAAGAACAUCUGUGCACCUUUCUUUUUGGGGACACACUUGGGAAUUUCUUUUUGGUGUAUCCCCAACAGUGAGAUUCCUAAGCCAUCAGGUGCGCAUGAUUACUGCCAAACAUCUUUCCAUCAAUUGAAACUGCUACUAACAGCUGCCCUACAUCCCUGCCUUUAUUUUCCAUCAAUAUUUUAAUUAAAUCUUUAAAACCUUAUUUAUUUUGAUUCUCAUAAAAUACACAUAGCAAGAAAACCUCCUAGUGUAAGGCCCCAAACUAGCCUAACCAGCUUUUCGCUUCUGUAACCACGCUUGCUCUUAGGUAAUUAGGACCCCGGUAAUUAGGACCCUACCCUCUCCUUUUUCUUUGUUCUUUUGUUAAUUCUUCCCGUAAGUGCCGAUAGUUGUGCAACUGGUUGUACAAGAUAGGGUCGCUGGAAUUUCCCCACCCUAAACUCCCUGACCACCUGCGUGUGGUUUUGGCCCAUAAAAACCCUAAGCUUGAGAGCCUCGGCGCGGCAGCUUCCCCAUCUCGGUGAUGCUGCUAGCCCCUGCGCUGCGCUGGAAAUAAAUCCUCUUGCUCUCUUGCAUCAA